rnacentral:rRNA from 1 species
UACGGAGGAUCCAAGCGUUAUCCGGAAUCAUUGGGUUUAAAGGGUCCGUAGGCGGUUUGGUAAGUCAGUGGUGAAAGCCCAUCGCUCAACGGUGGAACGGCCAUUGAUACUGCCAGACUUGAAUUAUUAGGAAGUAACUAGAAUAUGGUAGUGUAGCGGUGAAAUGCUUAGAGAUUACAUGGAAUACCAAUUGCGAAGGCAGGUUACUACUAAUGGAUUGACGCUGAUGGACGAAAGCGUGGGUAGCGAACAGGA